CAAAUCUUUGGAGGCUGGCUGCUGUGAAUAACAGUGUGCUGGUUUCACAUUAGCACAGGGUCGCAAGGCCCUGAUGUUUACGCUUGUUUGUUUGACAGAGUUAGUUGAGAAUAAAUAUAGA
rnacentral:misc_RNA from 1 species